rnacentral:sRNA from 1 species
GACUCCGGACUAAACUGUGGCGUUUAUCGCCGCGUUCCCGCAAGGGAUAGGUUCGGGGUUUUCU